rnacentral:rRNA from 1 species
UACGUAGGGUGCGAGCGUUGUCCGGAAUUAUUGGGCGUAAAGGGCUCGUAGGCGGUUUGUCGCGUCGGGAGUGAAAACCUACAGCUUAACUGUGGGCUUGCUUUCGAUACGGGCAGACUAGAGGUAUGCAGGGGAGAACGGAAUUCCUGGUGUAGCGGUGAAAUGCGCAGAUAUCAGGAGGAACACCGGUGGCGAAGGCGGUUCUCUGGGACGGUACUGACGCUGAGACGCGAAAGCGUGGGGAGCGAACAGG